rnacentral:rRNA from 1 species
GCCCGGUUCCUGGUAUGCGAUUAGGCAUGCGAGUCGAGAGGUGAAGACCUCGGCGGACGGCUGAGUAACACGCGGAUAAUCUGCCCUGGAGUGGGGGACAAUCUCGGGAAACUGAGGAUAAUACCCCAUAGGUGUGGUGUGCUGGAAUGCUUCCACGCUCAAAGCUCCGGCGCUCCAGGAUGAGUCUGCGGCCUAUCAGGCUGUAGUGGGUGUAACGGACCCACUAACCGACGACGGGUAGGGGCGUUGAGAGACGGAGCCCCCAGAUGGAUUCUGAGACACGAAUCCAGGCCCUACGGGGCGCAGCAGCUACGAAAACUGUGCAAUGUGGGAAACCACGACACGGGCGUACCGAGUGCCAAGGCUUUGCUUUGGCUGUUCUUUCGCCUAAAAAGCGAGAGAAGUAAGGGCCGGGUAAGACGGGUGCCAGCCGCCGCGGUAAUACCCGCGGCCCGAGUGGUGCUCAUUAUUAUUGAGCUUAAAGCGUCCGUAGCCGGCCUCGUAAAUCUUUGGGUAAAUCGGGCAGCUUAACUGUUCGAAUUCCGAGGAGACUGCGAGGCUCGGGACCGGGAGAGGUUCGAGGUACUCCGGGGGUAGGGGUAAAAUCCUGUAAUCCUCAGAGGACCACCAGUGGCGAAGGCGUCGAACUAGAACGGAUCCGACGGUGAGGGACGAAGCCCUGGGGCGCAAACGGGAUUAGAUACCCCGGUAGUCCAGGGUGUAAACGCUGCGGGUUUGGUGUCGGAGGUCCUACGCGGGCGUCCGGUGCCGGAGAGAAAUUGUUAAACCUGCCGCUUGGGGAGUACGGUCGCAAGACUGAAACUUAAAG